rnacentral:rRNA from 1 species
AACCUUCGGGUUAGUGGCGGACGGGUGAGUAACGCGUGGGAAUCUGCCCUCAGGAGGGGGAUAACGGCCGGAAACGGCCGCUAAUACCCCAUAUGCCGAGAGGUGAAAUGAAUUUCGCCUGAGGAUGAGCCCGCGUCUGAUUAGCUAGUUGGUGAGGUAAGAGCUCACCAAGGCAUCGAUCAGUAGCUGGUCUGAGAGGAUGAUCAGCCACACUGGGACUGAGACACGGCCCAGACUCCUACGGGAGGCAGCAGUGGGGAAUUUUCCGCAAUGGGCGAAAGCCUGACGGAGCAACGCCGCGUGAGGGAUGAAGGCCUCUGGGCUGUAAACCUCUUUUAUCAAGGAAGAAGAUCUGACGGUACUUGAUGAAUAAGCCACGG